rnacentral:lncRNA from 1 species
UGAGUCAGUUUGAAACAAUUAUAAUUAUUGCCUUUUUCUCUAAUCAUGCUUGAGGAACUCAUGGGACUUCAGACCUCAACUAGAUUUCCAAAAUCUAAGAUCAAAUCAUAUUUUAUAUAAUUCAUCUUGACCAUGUGUUAGGUUUAAACAAUGACUAUGAUUGACAACUGUAUUUCAAUAGCUUAGUUUUGGUACUACCUGUCGN